rnacentral:rRNA from 1 species
GAUGAACGCUAGCGGCAGGCCUAACACAUGCAAGUCGAGGGGUAGAAGGAGCUUGCUCCUUUGAGACCGGCGCACGGUUGCGUAACGCGUAUGCAAUCUGCCUUGUACUGAGGGAUAGCCCAGAGAAAUUUGGAUUAAUACCUCAUAGUAUAUAACCUUCGCAUGUUGGUUAUAUUAAAGUUCCAACGGUACAAGAUGAGCAUGCGUCCCAUUAGUUCGUUGGUAAGGUAACGGCUUACCAAGACGAUGAUGAGUAGGGGUCCUGAGAGGGAGAUCCCCCACACUGGUACUGAGACACGGACCAGGCUCCUACGGGAGGCAGCAGCGAGGAAUAUUGGGCAAGGGGCGCAAGCCUGAACCAGACAUGCCGCGUGCAGGAUGAAGCAGCUAUGGUGUGUAAACUGCUUUUAUACGGGAAGAAACACUCCUACGUGUAGGAACUUGACGGUACCGUAAGAAUAAGGAUCGGCUAACUCCGUGCCAGCCGCCGCGGUAAUAC